rnacentral:rRNA from 1 species
AUACGGAGGGUGCAAGCGUUAUCCGGAAUCAUUGGGUUUAAAGGGUCCGUAGGCGGACUAUUAAGUCAGAGGUGAAAUCCCACAGCUCAACUGUGGAACUGCCUUUGAUACUGGUAGUCUUGAGUUAUAUGGAAGUAGAUAGAAUGUGUAGUGUAGCGGUGAAAUGCAUAGAUAUUACACAGAAUACCGAUUGCGAAGGCAGUCUACUACGUAUAUACUGACGCUAAGGGACGAAAGCGUGGGGUGCGAACAGGAUUAGAUACCCUAGUAGUCC